rnacentral:rRNA from 1 species
AUGGAGGAGAGUGCUAGGACAAUUCAGGAGAUGGCUGAUCUUGUUCAAAGGACCUGCAUUGACAAAACUGGAGGCGUUCGUUCAGAAAAUCUCCUGCAUCCUAGAAGCCCCACUCCAGAUUCUGGCAGGUUAACCGUCGAGACGAAAGACACUGAGGGUGGCUUCGAUCGCUCGCUUCUCUUCUCCCGCUCGAAGUCCGAUGACGCUCCAAUCACAAAGGGGCCAGCAUACCAAAUCUCUCCACCAAGAAGCCCUCGCGAAAGCACCUGCAAGGCGACGCUGCUAUGCCCGGUCACCCCUCUGGAGCUGGGUGGAUCGCCAGCUAAACCAUGGAAGAAGCUCAAGGUGGUGCCCACUACAGACGUGGCAAAGGAAAUGGUGUCGCUGGGGACUGCAUAA